rnacentral:rRNA from 1 species
UACGUAGGUGGCAAGCGUUGUCCGGAUUUAUUGGGUUUAAAGGGUGCGUAGGCGGUUUAAUAAGUCAGUGGUGAAAUACGGCAGCUCAACUGUCGAGGUGCCAUUGAUACUGUAGAACUUGAGUACAGACGAGGUAGGCGGAAUUGACGGUGUAGCGGUGAAAUGCUUAGAUAUCGUCAAGAACACCGAUAGCGAAGGCAGCUUACUAGGCUGUAACUGACGCUGAGGCACGAAAGUGUGGGGAUCAAACAGG